rnacentral:lncRNA from 1 species
GUUGGGAAUUAGAUAUUUCGUUGUAGACAGAGUGCUACUGUUGACAUUAGGAUAUUUCAAAUUGUAAAUUGUGCUGCUUGACAUCCAUCAUAUUUCAUCGAAUUUAAAGGGUAUUCCAAAUUCGCUGCUUGGAGAUGGUGCUGUGUGCCCUUUCCCUUCUCGUUUGUCUGUUGGCCUGUUGUUGCUACUCACUCAUGUUGCGGGCCUAUUAUAAUUAAGCAAUUUACUUAAUUUCUAAUUAUUUCUUAUCCCAUCUACCCCAUGACAACUAUGCGAAAAAAUGAUAUAAAACAAAACAAAAACACAACCACAACAACCGCAAAAUAGACGCACGGUGGUGCCGGUCUUGGCGGAAGAGCCUAGAAAAAAUCAAGUUGAGAUAAAUCGCUUUUGAGAUACUGGGAUACAGAUGCAGGCCCUCGCCCCUCAACCAACCAACCCACCGAAGACUUAUGUAAAACAGAGUUGUGAUUUUAUAUUUAUUUUGUUUGAUUUUUUGCUCCACUAAAUGCACAAACAU